GUGGUGGCGCAUGCCUGUAAUCCCAGCUACUCGGAAGCUGAGGCAUGACAAUUGCUUGAACACAGGAGGCUGAAUUGCUUGAAUACAGGAGAUCGCACCACUACACUCCAGCCUGGGAGACAGAGUGAGACUCCGUCUCAAAAAAAAAAAAAAAAAAAAAAAAGCGAACAAAAAAAGAGGAAUAACUGAUACGGCCUGGUGUGAGGCAUGGGGUCCAGCAUCCAGAUGGAGGGGUCAGCCUUAGAGGGGUAAGGUGGGUGUUCCUUCUGAGAGAGAUGGGAACUAAUAAAACCAGGAAGAGAUGAAGAUUUAGGGAGAGGGGGUGGUCUGCUGAGCUAGUUCAAGUGAGCAGUGAGGAUUGGGUAGAUGGCUUGAGAAGAGUUUGUUAGAGAUGAGUGAAAAGCCUGUUUAGCAUCAACUCACACAUAUCUAGUACCUACUCUGUGUCACAUGUUUUCACAAAAAUGAUUUUAUCCUUACAACAGUAUGUGAAACAGAAAACAUCCUUAUUUGCAGGCUCCAACCUCUUCCUUGUUGAGUGAGUUCCUUGCUUACCUGAGCAUAAGAAUGUGCUUGUGAGGAAAAGGAAGAAGUAACAGAAAAAGGGAGCCGGGAAGACUGUCUUACUUCACUGCUUGGACUGGAGUGAGGAGAAUCCAGAAGUCAGAGUGGCUGCAGCUGAGAUGGAGAAGAACUUGCUGCUUAGAGGAAGGGGACUGUAAGUAGCCAAGAUGGGUCUUGGGGUACAGCUGAAAGGAAGGCAUUUGGAGGGACCUGGGUGAUGCCAGCCACAGCCAAAUCAUUUCCAGAGGGAGGGCUUCCUUGCCACUUCCCUCCAAUGUGCCACUUCUACUGCCUAGAGCCUGGAUGACCACGGGGUCCUGUGCCUCCUUGUCUCUCUGUGCUCAUCUUGCCUGUGUCACUCAUCAGUCAGAAGUGCCUUCAGGGUGGGGACAGGAACUUGUUCACUGUUGAAUCUCCAGUGCUUACUGCUCAGUGCCUUCCCUGUGGCCAAUCCUCUGUAGAUGUGAUUCAUUGACUGCCUGCAUGUCUGAAUGAGUGAAUAAAUGAAUGAAUGACUAAUCAUUGAAUAACAGAAUAAAGCAAAUUCAAGAACCUUGUCUCAGCCUGUUUUGAGUCUAUUGAAGUGUUGCCCAAGUGUCAGUUAGGGUCACCUAAUUCCUUAAGAAUUAGAUAAACUUCCUUUGAGCCAUCUAUUUCACAAAUGGGAAAUCCAGAGGUCUCCCUAACAUUUCUGUGGGUUCUUAGGGCUGUGGGCUAGGGUGUGGAUGGAGAAAUAGUGGGAGAGAGGCUUAUGGUUUCCACUGGUUCUAAACUUCUGCUUCCUCAGUUUAAAGACUGUCUCCAUCCAACUCUGCCUUCUCCUAUGUGUGCAGUACAAUCUCUUCCUUUUUCCACAUGAUCCACACUCCCGCCAAACAAGGCAAGUUGUGUGUGGAUCAGACUUCACUGUGGUACUAGGGGUUGGGGCAGAGGAGGAGUUUACAUCAUGACAACGCAGCAGUUCCAAAUUAAAUGUAUUCUUACAAUCCUUUGACAUCCCACCACUAGAGAUGUCUUGUUGGUUGUUUUAUUACAGUGGACUCCAAUCUUAAGCCAUCUUAUGAUCUUCUCUUUACUUGUUUGCCCUCCUCUUUUUCUUCUUCUCAUCGCUUCCACUCCAGGUUGCUUUCAGGACCUUCAAAAUCUCUUUGUAUUUUAAAGACCAAUUUACCCCACCAAGAGCAUCCCUGAUAAUAAAAUAACUAACAACUGCAGAGUACUUACAGCCUUUUUUUUUUUUUUUUUUUUUUUUUGAGACAGAGUUUCGAUCUUGUUGCCCAGGCUGGAGUACAAUGGCAUGAUCUCGGCUCACCGCAACCUCCGCCUCCAAGGUUCAAGUGAUUCUCCGCCUCAGCCUCCCGAGUAGUUGGGAUUACAGGCAUGCACCACCAUGCCCGGCUAAUUUUUUGUAUUUUUAGUAGAGACAGGGCUUCUGCAUGUUGGUCAGGCUGGUUUUGAACUCCCAACCUCAGGUGAUCUGCCCACCUUGGCCUCCCAAAGUGCUGGGAUUACAGACGUGAGCCACCAUGCCCGGCCCCUUGAUAGCUCUUAAUACAUAUGCAUAGAGAUGUACAAGUGUAUGUGUGCACGUGGGUGGUGGUGUGAGAGAGGUUUAGGUGGCAUCCUUCAUCUGGCCCAGGACCACCAAGGUAAGAUCCAACCCAGCUCUCCCUUGUCUUCCUGCUAUGGGGGCAAUGAACAGGAGCCUGCAGGUCCCCUGGCUGUAAGAAGUACCCAACUCUAGGGCCAAGGAAUGAGAGUAAGAAGCAGAGGGCCACUCUGUGAUUUCUCCUUUGCUUCACCAAUGGGCCUCUGCUUUAAGUGCAAAAGCGGUUAAAGGUGCUUGAGGCUUAAUGUGUCUCAUUAAGGGCUUGGGCUGGCGAUGGCUGCCUCUCUCUGCUGAAGGCUGUGACUCCCUUUAAACAGCUCGCUCCCAUGGCCAUGGGUCUCUCUGUGUGUCCACUCCCUCCCUUGCCCCUCAGGUCUAGAGAUAGCAACAGCUCCCCACUGUUGCUAGUUUCAGGAUAAAUCACAGGAUUGUUGCCCUUAAUCUGGUUCCCACCAUGCGACUGAUCUCUUUAUUAAACUCUCUUCAAUCAUGCUAAGUGUGUCCUCAUUUCAGUUCAGACUCUUCCUUUGAGUCCUUUGUGCCCUAGUCCUAGUUUUAAGAGUCUUGGCUACCUGUAGGAGACCUUAAGGGUCCCUCAGGUGUUGCUGGGUUCUCUAAGAACUCCUUAGAGACCUGUUUGAGACAAGGUCUUGCUCUCUUGCUCAGAGUGGAGUGAAGUGGCACAAUCACAUCUCACUGCAGCCUCGGUCUCCUGGGCUCAAGCAAUCCUUCCACCUCAGCCUACCGCGCAGCUGGGACCACGCCUGGCUAAUUUUUAAUUUUUGUAGAGACGGGGUCUCACUAUGUUACCAGGCUGGUCUCCAACUCCUGAGCUCAAGCGAUUCUCUCACCUCUGCUUUCCAAAGUGCUGAGAUUACAGGUGUGGGCCACCGUGCCUAGCCUAGGUUUUGUAAGCAAUUAUGCAACCUUCACCCUUUCCCCCUAGAGGCUCUAAAACUCUGCCAUUAGAGAGUCCUUCUCAAGCAAACCAGGGAUAUGCUCUGGUAUGAAAAGGUGGUGGGUUUUCCAGUUUGUUCUGAGGGCCCAAGCCCCUUUAGAACAAGAAUCAAAACAAUGCCUGGGACCUGCCCUGUUAUCCAACCCUAUGCUCUCUCUUCCUGGUGGAGGCUCCAGAAUUUCUGGAUCACUGGAUUUAGGGGAUGCAAUCCAGCUGGAAGAGAGUGGAACAGAGUUAGGGAACUUGUCUUGAAGCUGCAAUUGCAGGGUUUUGCACCGAGUGUUUUAGGAGGUGGCUUGUGUGGGGUGGUGGUGAGGGGGUGCUGAUGAGAUUUUAGAGGAAGGUUUUGAGCCUGGGCACUGCUACUGGCUUCCCCUUUUGUUAGAACCUGGCCAUGCCUCUGAACAUGGCUUCUCUUCUCUCUGUGGACUGACAGCACCUGAGGGAGGGCAGGGAACAACCAGGGAGGCCCCAGCAUGGGAACAGAGAAGAGAGACAGGCAGCCCUGCCUGUACCAGGGACCUCUUGAAGACUGUGUGGAUGGUCCCUGACUUAGGAUUGUUUGAUUUAGGAUUUUUUGACUUUAGAUGGUACAAAAGUGAUACACAUUCAGCAGAAACUGUACUUUGAGUUUUUGGAAUUGGGCUACAUUUGUUGAUAUUGUUUUUUCUAUUGCAAUUAAGUCUAAUAGAAGAGAUGUUAUAUUUUGGUUGCAGUGAGGUUUGAAUAUGAUAUCAUGUGGUGUAUUGUAAUGGGAAGAAACCUAAUAUGUUGAAGAAUUUAUAUGUGUGUGAAGGGGAUUCAAGUUUGAGAUUAUUAGUCAUAAGAUUAAGUUCCACUGCUACUGUAAAUCCUAGAAUGCUUAUGCCAAGGGCUUUAAGUUUUAGUUUAGUUUAACACAACCAUUCUGUUUUCCAACUUCAGUAUAGUAUUCAAUAAAUUACAUGAGAUAUUUAACACUAUUAUAAAAUAAGCUUUGUGUUCAAUGAUUUGCUCAACUGUAGAGUAAUGUAAGUGUUCUGAGGACUUUUAAGGUAGACUAGGCUAAGCUCUGAUGUUCAGUAGGUUAGGCAUAUUCAAUGCAUUUUGGAUUUUUAGUACUUUCAACUUAUGGUGGGUUUAUCAGGAUGUAACCCCAUUGUAAAUCAAGGUGCAUCUAUAUGUGAAAGAAAGUUAGUAGAGAGCCCUGUUCAUCUACCAAGUCCUGCAGUGAGGACCAGGGGUGGGGUUGGGAGUGGUGCUCUGCAGGAAGCAGGAAAUCACCCUCUCCAGUUACCUGGGGGCAGGGGAGCUG
rnacentral:lncRNA from 10 species